rnacentral:rRNA from 1 species
UUUAAAGAGAGUUUGAUCCUGGCUCAGGACGAACGCUGGCGGCGUGCCUAAUACAUGCAAGUCGAACGAACCGACGAAAAGCUUGCUUUUCUGACGUGAGUGGCGGACGGGUGAGUAACACGUGGGCAACCUGCCUAUCAGUUGGGGAUAACUCCGGGAAACCGGGGCUAAUACCGAAUAAUAACGAGCGUCGCAUGACGCUAGUUUGAAAGAUGGUUUCGGCUAUCGCUGAUAGAUGGGCCCGCGGUGCAUUAGCUAGUUGGUGGGGUAAUGGCUCACC